AUGAGUAACACCAUCUUAUCUAUCUGUUCGUGGAAUGUAAGAGGACUUGGUGAUGUGUCCAAAUGUGCUGACAUUUUAUCAGACUUAAUCAGCAUUAGUCCCCAUUGUGCACUUCUACAUGAAUCCAAACUAAGCAAAACUACAGAAAGAAAAUUCCACUCCUUCCUGCCAAAAUCUCUAGACCAAAAACUAUUUCUCCCGGCCCACGGCUCGGCAGGCGGAACCAUCUCAGCGUUCAACCCCAACAUUUUUACUUUCCUAUCCCACACACACUAUAACUUUGACACCUCUAUUAAACUCGCAUCUCUCGCCCACCCACACCCUUUCAUCAUUACUAACAUAUACGCACCCGCAUGUCAUAAUCUCAAACAAGCCUUUCUGGACGAACUCAACUCAAUUAAAGAAGAUGACAACACACCUUGGCUCAUAGUUGGAGACUUCAACCUUCUUCGGUACUCACACGAAAAAAACAAUCCAAAUUUCCACCAAAGAGAGGCAGAUGCUUUCAACAACACGAUCAACGAGCUAGCGCUUAUCGAACUACCCCUGCUAGAUAGAAGGUUUACGUGGUCCAACAAACGAUCCACGCCAACCUUAGAACGACUAGACAGAGCCUUCUUUAACCUAUCCUGGAACACCUGUUUCCCCAACACAAUCCUGGUCUCGCUACCGCGCAUCACAUCCGAUCACGUCCCACUAAUCUUACGCAUCCAGACUCGUGUGCCUAAGCCAUACCAUUUUUGUUUCGAGUCCGCCUGGACACAAGACACUGCAUGUCAUCAAUUUGUCCAAAAAUGUUGGGCCCCAAACCCCACCCAACCCAACGAUCAAACUCAGCUGCAACCCUAUCAAAAGCCCUAA
rnacentral:rRNA from 1 species